UACGUAGGGUGCAAGCGUUAAUCGGAAUUACUGGGCGUAAAGCGUGUGCAGGCGGUGAUGUAAGACAGUUGUGAAAUCCCCGGGCUCAACCUGGGAACUGCAUCUGUGACUGCAUCGCUGGAGUACGGUAGAGGGGGAUGGAAUUCCGCGUGUAGCAGUGAAAUGCGUAGAUAUGCGGAGGAACACCGAUGGCGAAGGCAAUCCCCUGGGCCUGCACUGACGCUCAUGCACGAAAGGCGUGGGGAGCAACAGG
rnacentral:rRNA from 1 species